UUACACUCGAGUGAAACAGCACUGUGGACCCUAUCACCACCUGAGCUAAUUACGUGUAAACAAAAACGAUCGUUCCAUAAGCUUGAUAAGCUUGAUGAAUACACCAGCGCGUCAUGUACCUCUUACUGUAGGAUGAGAGAGCUAGAACCUCUCUCUAGAGACUUGUAUAAAAGCGUAGCAUCCGAUGCAGGAUGUUCAUACAGUGGCUGAACUUCAAAAGCGACGCAAUAAUAUUAAUCAACAAAAAUGGGUAAACUUUUGGCUUAUACCAUCUUCGUUAUUUACGCUUUGAUCAUGGUGAUGGACUUUGCUGCAGCAUGCCAAGGUCAUGAUUCACCGUGUACGGGAGCAAAUGGAUCGCAAGGAAACUGCUGUGGUGGCAUGCAUUGUCAGAAAAAUGAUCCAAGCUGGAGGGAGGGAAGGUGUUAUUACAACCCUGGAAAAUAGGGGCAAUAUUUGGAUCCCACUCCCACGGCGAUAAAGUGAAGGCGAAAUUCUUUAAAAAUAUAAUAAAUAAAAUAAACUAAUAAAAGCGUUUGUAUUCCAAUAACUCCCUCUGAUAAAAAUUAUACCAAUUUUUAAAAAUA